rnacentral:rRNA from 1 species
AGCUUGCUGGGUGGAUUAGUGGCGAACGGGUGAGUAACACGUGGGUGAUCUGCCCUGCACUCUGGGAUAAGCCUGGGAAACUGGGUCUAAUACCGGAUAUGACCUCGGGAUGCAUGUUCUGGGGUGGAAAGUUUUUCGGUGCAGGAUGAGCCCGCGGCCUAUCAGCUUGUUGGUGGGGUAAUGGCCUACCAAGGCGACGACGGGUAGCCGGCCUGAGAGGGCGACCGGCCACACUGGGACUGAGACACGGCCCAGACUCCUACGGGAGGCAGCAGUGGGGAAUAUUGCACAAUGGGCGCAAGCCUGAUGCAGCGACGCCGCGUGAGGGAUGACGGCCUUCGGGUUGUAAACCUCUUUCACCCAUGACGAAGCGCAAGUGACGGUAGUGGGAGAAGAAGCACCGGCCAACUACGUGCCAGCAGCCGCGGUAAUACGUAGGGUGCGAGCGUUGUCCGGAAUUACUGGGCGUAAAGAGCUCGUAGGCGGUUUGUCGCGUCGUCUGUGAAAUCCCGCAGCUCAACUGCGGGCUUGCA